UACGAAGGGGGCGAGCGUUGUUCGGAAUCACUGGGCGUAAAGGGCGCGUAGGCGGCCCUCCUAGUCGCGUGUGAAAGCCCCGGGCUCAACCUGGGAACGGCGCGCGAAACGGGGGGGCUGGAGUUUGGGAGAGGGAUGCGGAAUUCCAGGUGUAGCGGUGAAAUGCGUAGAUAUCUGGAGGAACACCGGUGGCGAAGGCGGCAUCCUGGACCAACACUGACGCUGAGGAGCGAAAGCCAGGGGAGCAAACGGG
rnacentral:rRNA from 1 species